UACGGAGGGUGCAAGCGUUAUCCGGAUUCACUGGGUUUAAAGGGUGCGUAGGCGGGUCUGUAAGUCAGUGGUGAAAUCUCCAAGCUUAACUUGGAAACUGCCGUUGAUACUAUCUGUCUUGAAUAUUGUGGAGGUGAGCGGAAUAUGUCAUGUAGCGGUGAAAUGCUUAGAUAUGACAUAGAACACCAAUUGCGAAGGCAGCUCACUGCUCAAUCAUUGACGCUGAGGCACGAAAGCGUGGGGAUCAAACAGG
rnacentral:rRNA from 1 species